GACGAACGCUGGCGGCGUGCUUAACACAUGCAAGUCGAACGGUAAGGCCUUUCGGGGUACACGAGUGGCGAACGGGUGAGUAACACGUGGGUGAUCUGCCCUGCACUUCGGGAUAAGCCCGGGAAACUGGGUCUAAUACCGGAUAGGACUGCGCGGUGCAUGCCGUGUGGUGGAAAGAUUUAUCGGUGCAGGAUGGGCCCGCGGCCUAUCAGCUUGUUGGUGGGGUAAUGGCCUACCAAGGCGACGACGGGUAGCCGGCCUGAGAGGGCGACCGGCCACACUGGGACUGAGAAACGGCCCAGACUCCUACGGGAGGCAGCAGUGGGGAAUAUUGCACAAUGGGCGCAAGCCUGAUGCAGCGACGCCGCGUGAGGGAUGACGGCCUUCGGGUUGUAAACCUCUUUCAGCAGGGACGAAGCGUGAGUGACGGUACCUGCAGAAGAAGCACCGGCCAACUACGUG
rnacentral:rRNA from 1 species